GGGGGUCUAGCUCAAAUGGUAGAGCGCUCGCUUAGCAGUCUCGUUGUCGUAACAGAGAUUAAUUUGCGAGAGGCACGGGGAUCGAUGCCCCGGACCUCCA